CAGCGGCCACUUCAAAGCCACGCCCCCUUCUCCCCCUAGACUUCACGCCGACCAAUGGGGCGGCUCCGGGAUGAUCAACCCGGAUAUUCUCAUGUUCGUCGCCAAAGGGUCGCGGGGGGUGCUGGAGCCUAUCUCCGCUGCAUUCGGGCGGAAGGCGGGGUAGACCCUGGACAAGUCGCCACCUCAUCACAGAUCCAUUGUUGUCCAUUCGGCGGACACCAAGACGACUAAGGUUCCCCUCCGGAGAUAUUUUCUUGUAACUCCAUCUACA